GCUGAUAACUGACUACUGCUCUGUUGUUCAGUACAAAUUGAAGGAAACCACACCGACAAUAAAUUUGAGAUAGAUAAUCAAUAAUUUGAUCCAAAAUACUCCAACCAGCAACGAUAUCAAACGGUAUUUGAGGCAGCUGAAUGCGGGAGAACCUCAGGCAUACGGUGGUUUGUUUUCUAGUAAACCAUGCUAGCAUUGCUAGCUAACUAACUAGCCAGCGUCUCGUCGCCUCCUCUUCAUCUUCAUGGGUUUCUGCUGUUGAGUCUGCCAGGCUUGUGCUGGAGGCAGCGAGGCUAACAAAUUAAUGCCAUCGGCCAGGGUGCCGUUGCUUCACUCGCAGAACUCAGGUCAUAUUAUGAGUGGGGCGAGUUGCAAAGCUAACGGCGCCGUGUACCCCGCCUCAUCAGCAGUGAUGAACUCUGUGAAGAAGCCGAAGAUGGAGCAGAUUCAGGCCGACCAUGAGCUGUUCCUACAGGCCUUUGAAAAACCAACUCAGAUAUACAGAUUUCUCCGCACAAGGAAUUUGAUUGCACCCAUAUUUUUGCACAGGACGCUCACCUUCAUGUCUCACAGAAAUGGCCGAACAAAUGCCAAAAGGAAAACAUUCAAAGUGGAUGAUAUGUUGCAGACAGUCGAGAGGAUGAAGGGAGAGCAGGAUUCUCCAAGUUUGUCUUCACAUCUACAGUUAACCUUCACUGGGUUCUUCCAUAAGGAUGAAAAGCCAUCUCAGAAUUCAGAAAAUGAACAAAAUUCCGUGUCCUUAGAGGUGCUACUUGUCAAAGUCUGCCAUAAAAAACGCAAGGAUGUCAGCUGUCCGAUAAAGCAAGUGCCUACAGGUAAAAAGCAGGUGCCUUUGAAUCCUGACAGUAACCAAACCAAGCCUGGCUCCUACCCUUCCUUACUGGUCUCCAGCAACGAGUUUGAGCCCAGCAACAGCCACAUGGUCAAGUCCUACUCGCUCCUUUUCAGGGUGUCACGCACAGGGAGGAGGGAUACUAAUGGUCUAGUCAACGGAGAGGCCAACGAGAACAUUGAUGUAACAGAUACUCCUAGUAGGAAGAAGAGAAGUUCAUCUCAUAGAGAUGAAGGGGAGACCACAGAGACCUUUGUUGCACAGAUGACUGUCUUUGAUAAGAAUAGGAGAUUGCAGCUGCUGGAUGGGGAAUAUGAGGUGUCGAUGCAAGGGAUGGAGGACAGCCCUGUCAGCAAGAAGCGAGCCACGUGGGAAACCAUUCUUGAUGGAAAGAGACUGCCACCAUUUGAGACAUUUUCUCAGGGACCCACAUUGCAGUUCAUGCUGCGUUGGACAGGUGAUGCUAGUGGAAAGUCCACUGCCCCUGUGGCAAAACCCCUUGCUACACGCAAUUCCGACAGCUCCAGCCCCAUGGAGACUAGGACCAGCAAUCACAGAGCUGCCCUCAUGACAGUGAAAGAGUCAGUCAGCACAGACAUUCAGACGAGGAAAGAGCAGGUCCAGUGUGAGCCGCGGCAGAAGCUACGUAUAUUUUAUCAGUUUUUGUACAACAAUAACACGCGGCAGCAAACAGAGGCACGGGACGAUCUUCACUGUCCCUGGUGUACCCUGAACUGCAGCAAACUCUACAGCCUGCUCAAACACCUCAAACUCUCUCACUCCCGCUUCAUCUUCAACUAUGUGCCUCACCCCAAAGGAGCAAGGAUAGACGUGUCCAUCAAUGAGUGCUACGACGGGUCGUAUGUCGGAAACCCUCAGGACAUCCACAGCCAGCCAGGCUUUGCUUUCAGCCGCAACGGCCCAGUUAAGAGGACUGCUGUAACUCAUAUACUGGUUUGCAGGCCCAAGAGGACCAAACCAAGUCUGUCAGAGUUCCUGGAGUCUGAGGACGGAGAGUUGGAGCAGCAGAGGACCUAUGUCAGUGGACACAACCGUCUCUACUUCCACAGUGACAGCUGCAUGCCCCUGCGGCCCCAGGAGAUGGAAGAGGACAGUGAGGACGAGAGAGAUCCAGAGUGGCUCAGAGAGAAGACUGCCACGCAACUGGAUGAGUUCACAGAUGUCAACGAGGGAGAGAAAGAAGUGAUGAAGCUGUGGAACCUGCACGUCAUGAAGCAUGGUUUCAUAGCAGACAACCAGAUGAAUCAGGCCAUCAUGCUCUUCGCAGAGGACAGCGGUGCUCACAUCAUCCGCCGCAACCUCUGCCGUAACUUCCUCCUGCAUCUAGUCAGCAUGCACGACUUCAACCUGGUGAGCACGGCCACCAUCGACCGCGCCAUGGCCCGUCUGCGACAGAUCCAAGAAGAGCUCCCGGACACUGUGGAGGAGCAGCAGGACCAGACUCUGGUAUCAACAGGAGCCUGCAACGGCAAUGCCGUCACCUCCACUGGAGGGAAACUGGGCAAGAGGACAAAAAGCGCACUAACGGACUGAUGUUGGAUGGAUGGAUGGACGGAACAAUGAUUGUUGUGGGGUUUUUUUUUUAUUAUUUUAUUUUAUUUUUUUCUUCAAUGAACAUUACCAACCCUUUGGUGCUUAGAUAGGUGGGAGAACUGGUCAGCUGAGGAUCUGACCUCAAGCAGACCAGUAUACAAGGUAAACAAGUUUUGAAACUUGAGAACUGAACCAAAUAUGAACAAUAUAAAAGUGAAUCACCCACUACCACACAAACCAGGAAUUUGAGGACUGGAUGAUAUUUACUGAAACAACCAGCAGCACAUCACCCCAUGUAUCCAGCAGAGUGCACAGCAAGUCAACAGUUUUCUGAUCACCUGUGGUGUCUUUUCACGUUGAGGUUUGAACAUGUUGAAAUCACAGUGUUCUGAGCGUCAGUAGCUGAUUGACAGAAAUGUGUUUACAUGUAAUCACAUCAGAUGUUUAGCUGUUUUCCUUCUGAAUCCAGUAUUGAACAGAUUGCAGUUCUUAUCUCAAAGCAAUAUGCUGUUUAUUGGAUGGUUGGUUUUCAGGUCCAAGUUUUUUUAGGUGCAGUUUAUGCCAAAGGGGAAUACUUUCAUCAGUCUCUUAGUUCUGUAUAUUAUUUAGCAUCUUUUCUUUUCUUCAUUCCAUAACUGUUUUUUUUUUUUAUUUUUUAUUUUUUAUUUUUUUUUUUAGCAGCAGCAGUAGUUGUGUUUUCUAGCGUGCACAUGAGUAGGUGAUCAUUAUCACCACUCAUUGUUUCAUCAGGACUUUCCUCGUGGACAACCAAAUUGACAACAUAUUUUUCCUCCCUCUGAUAUUCAUGGAAAAAGGGAGACAUAUUCACCAUUAUUGUCAGAACACCCUGUGAAAAAUUGUGAACUGUACACUCUGGCUAAGGGGAUUUUUAUAUUUAAAGAAAUAAAAUACAUUUGACCUUUAAGCACGGCUGUAAUGUUUUAGCAAUUCUGGACAUUAGCCAUCAUUACAACUCUCUCCGUCAUGGUCUCUGCCCAGCGGGUCCACUUGAAGAAUAACCCAGCCUGAGUUAUACCAUUCCCUUCAGGCUACAACCUCGGUUUAUAAAUUAUAUAUAAACAAUUAAUGCAACAAAAAGUUACAAAUAUAUUGCAUGUGGAAUGAAAUAUUUAGUUUUUCAGUAGCAUAGCUGUUUCUUCUUACAGACAUGGUCAGCUGCAUCUUAUUUUACACGUCAUUUAGGUUGAGAAAAAUCCAAACCAGAAAAACAGUUUUCUUUCCUCAAAGCUGCUUACUCAGUUUUUCAGGAGCUUUUGACCGUAUGUUACUGCCCUCAUCACCAGAUUGAGUUUGCUUUAGACAGUUUUCAGAGGUGGGACCAAGUUAUUGUUUUGCAAGUCCUAAGUAAGUCUUAACGUCUCAAGACAAGACAGGCGAGUUCCAAGUCCUAACCGUUAGCGAGUCAUAAACAAGUCAUAAUGCGCUCUUCACCAAAUGUAAUGCCAUUUCAACA